rnacentral:rRNA from 1 species
CCUACGGGUGGCAGCAGUGGGGAAUAUUGCACAAUGGGGGAAACCCUGAUGCAGCGACGCCGCGUGGGUGAAGGAGUAUUUCGGUAUGUAAAGCCCUAUCAGCAGGGAAGAUAAUGACGGUACCUGACUAAGAAGCCCCGGCUAACUACGUGCCAGCAGCCGCGGUCAUACGUAGGAUCCGAGCAUUAUCCGGAGUGACUGGGGGUAAAGGGUUGCGUAGGUGGGCUAAUAAGUAGCUAGUGAAAUCUGGUGGCUCAACCAUUCAGACUAUUAGCUAAACUGUUAAGCUCGAGACCGUUAGGGGUAACUGGAAUUUCUAGUGUAGGGGUGAAAUCCGUAGAUAUUAGCAGGAACACCAAUCGCGUAGGCAGGUUGCUGGGACGGUUCUGACACUAAGGCACGAAAGCGUAGGGAGCAAACGGGAUUAGAUACCCGAGUAGUC